UUUUCCUGGUUGUGGGUCAGACUGAUCCUCAGUUUCAUCAGAAAUUCUGCCAGGCUGUCCACCCAAACCAUUCCUGGGCCUAAAGAAUUCUGUAAUGAGAGAUCAAUCGAAGACUCGGGAAGAGCUGUGAUCUGACUCUUGGCUACUGGAUCCUACUGGAACACAACACUGUCUGUGCUGCUGAUUGACUCCCAAGAAUAAAAAAAGGAACUUGUCACAGACGUACUGCAUGUGUGCGCUCCAGUCAAAACAGCCCUCCUCCGCCCUGAGCCACCUCUCAAUCUCACUCCGGUUGCUGUCCA